UGUUUCUGUAUUCUAAUGUUUUAAUCCGCACCAUGCAUCAUAAUCCUACAUGAGCAUACUGUUUAUACACAGUACAAAGCAUGCAGUACUGUUAUAUUUUCUUUCUUUUUAUAUAAAUCAACUUAAACGUGACAAAUUACUUAGCACAGACGAUCACUGUUGAUAAUGCACCUUAUUAAACUGAGAUUGAAUAUAUAUACUUACAUAUAUAAAUGCCCAUUAAGUAUGUUUUCCCUUACAAUUUGUUUCUUUUCUUAUAAGCAAAAAAAAACAAUGUGUUUCUUCAUAUUUGUAUUUACAUCUAGAAUUUUGACUGGUUUUUCCUUUUAAUUACGUUGACUGGUUACAUCGAAAAUGAUUAGUUGUAUAUAUAACCUGUAUGUGUUUAUACGAUUGAAAUAGAUUUCUAAACGAUAGAAUAAUUAUGGUAAGUGACUAGAUGGAGUAGAUACGGGAAACCGGACUACCGUAGAGUGGUGACAUAAUAUAAUAAACAGACUAGAGAGAUAUUAGCUUGAAUUCCCACCGCUUAAUUAUCCUUAACGAAAUAAGGAAUUGAAUCCAAUCCACUAUCAAUUUCCACCUUUUCGCUGGAAAAAAAGGAUAAAUACAAUUUGAGUUUGUCAUAUGCUACGAACAACCAAGUAGACGUGAAACUAUUUAUUUAAUAUAGUUAAAUUCAUUCAGUGAUAUGGUCCUUACAUGCAAUUGUAUUUACAUAAGUUUAGAGACAAGCCAGCCAACAAAAGUUUGUACACCCCAGUCUGUAUAUAGCAAUUCCACGGACCGUUGUGUUUCAAAAAAAAAAAAAAAGCAAUUCCACAGACCUAAAGUUAAGAAACAAAAAAAUAAUUUAAUCUUUUAAAAAAGAUUGGAAAAAAUUAAUUGAAAAUUGAAAAGCUAAAUAUAACGACUUAUUUUCUUUACAGAAAAAAGCAAACAUUAUUUCCUUACAGUAAAGAACGAGACAUGAGAAAAAAUAAAGUAUAGAGGAGGUCAUUUUCUUAGGAUCAAAUAGCUUCGACUUUACAUAAAAACAAUCAUAAUCAAGUACAUUAGGUAUGUAAUCUAAUAUGUCUACUGUCUACCUACACAUUUUAUCGAUUUUAAAUUAAAAUAAAUACUAAUAAUUGCCGUUUGAAAUUAAAAUGGUUUCAGUAAAAAAAAUCGUCGAGAGAAAAAAAUAAAGUCAACAUCCAACUAUUGUCGAAAUCAAAACAGCAGCUGACAGCAAGGAAGACCCGUGGCCCCGUUUCACACGCUUACCGGUUUGGUCUCACCCUAGCUAGUAUGCGCUGUACAGUGGAUCUUAUAAUCACUCCGACGGUUAUGAUCUGCUUCAUCUAUGAUUCUUAGCUUCACUCACCAGAAACAACAGAUAAAUUAUUAUACCAACAAUCAAGAGUGGAUAUAAUUCGUUCGAUAUUGUUGAAUCUGAUUCUUUAUACUAGUUAUAACUUCACGAAGACGAAUAGAAAAAGAGGCUUUUAAAAAAGUAUAGUAUUUAUAUAAAAAUAUAUAAAUCUAAAAAGCGUAAAAAGUUAUGGAUUCUAAGCAAGUUUGGAAUAUGAUGAGCUGUGUUGAAUCGCGUUCUAGUGGCUAUACUGAUGAAUGAUAAAUUGAAUAGUUAGAGUAAUUAGACAUGGGUCCAAAUAUAUAAAGACCACGUAACGCGCUUUUCAUCACGUGAUAUGUCUACAUUGUCUUGGGUCAUUACGUGUAUGCUUUAUCUUUCAGUAAUCAUAGUAAUUUUUCGGCAAUCCCUAUGUAAGGAAAUAAAAAAUAAUUACAGAGAAGUAAAAACGACAUACAUCGCUUAAUAUUUGUCUUAUCAAGACGAUAAAAUAAAUGGGUAUAAUACUUGAUAAUGAAUUUCAUGUAAAAUUUCAUAAUUAACGAUAAGACUCGGAGACAAGAAAACAUACUAACAGGCUAUACAAUCCAUGGUCGGGUCACAGCCCGCCUGUUUGGUCUGUGUACCGAGUCGGGUCAUGACCCGUCUGGUUAUACACAUAAAACGACAUCGGAUGACUGAAUUGGAGUGGGACCUGUCCGGGCCAACUUCGUAUAUAAUCAUAAUAAUAAAUUAACCUUUUUAACCAUCUAGUCUUAUUUGAUUGAGGGAGACUCUGGCUGGGGUCCAUUUAAAUAAAGCCUCGAUACGUGGUAUAACGAAAACGACAACGUAUUCACACGAAGAAAAAACUCGUAACACUUACUCACCUAAGACCAUCUCCAAUGGUUUACACUAUUUUUUACUCUAAAAUAGAGUGACUCUAUAAUAGAGUUUAAGUUUUCUCCAAUGGUAUUCUAUUUUAGAGUAAAAAAUAGAGUGAUGAAUAAAAAAAAAAUAAGUUACUUUAUAUUUAGAGUAAACCUAUUUUUCACUUUAUUAUAGAGUGAAAAAUAGAGUACCAUUAGAGCAUUUUUACUCUAAAACUCUAUUUUAGAGUGAAAAAUAGAGUAGGGUUGGAGAUGCCCUAAGAGCAUAUGAUUAUUGAAAGGUUUUUAAAGUAAAAUUCUUAGCGGAAUAUAAGAACCUGACUCUUAAGUUUUAACUAAAAAAACUUAAAAUUAGCUCUUAAAUAAAAGUUUUAAGAGACGGUUCUUAGUUUUUUUAAUUAAAAAUUAAGAGAUGAAUUCUUAUAUUUCGCUAAAAACUCCACCUUAAGAACUCCCAAUAAUUAUAUUAUUAUGCUAUAAACACUUAAUGCCUUAAGUGAAUUGCCCUCUUCGACCAAACGACAAACUUCACACAAAACAAAUAUACGAGAGAAACAAAAACUUAUUAAUAAACUUUAUUAGACACCUCAGUAUACCAACAAAGUAGAUUAAAACUACUGUUUUGUUUAACUUGAGAUGUUGACCGCUAACCUAAACACGCUGAACUUAAAACUUUAAAUAUUAAUUACCAACGUAUAUCGAUCCAAAAUAAAGUUGGUAUAUGUUUUAAUCAUAGUGAUUCUAUAGAUUUCUCAUUAAUUAUCUAUUUAAGUAGAAUAAUGUCCAUCAGUUCCACAGUCACGCCAUUAUACAUAGGAUUAAUCUCCUCAUCAGGGAGUGUUCCAUUUACUUGAUUUGGUACGGUGACGACUGACGGCCCAUCAAACCAAUUUGGAUGGCAAUAAAUAAUUUGAUCUGCUAAUUAUCAUUUUUAUUCCAAAUCUAAUAGCUGGACUUUGCUACAGUAUUUAAUAAAAAUAGUACAUGGGUUAUUUGAUUUAAAAAUAUUAGGUGGUUGUUCUCUUAAUUUUAUUUAAUGGUUUAACCGAUAAACAUAGAUACUGACCUAAUACUCGUAACUGUUACCAACUACAAUAAAAUACAAAUUAAACCUUCCUUUACCAGCUAAAGCGAAGACAGAUGUACAUCAACUACUUAUAAAAUACAUAUUUUAUGUAUAUAUAAUUAUAUAUUAAGCAAUACAACUAUCUAUUUGGUUUUCUAAUGGAAAGUAUAUUCUCAAAUACUUUUUAUGAUAUUUAGUUUUAAUAAUAGUUUAGAGUUUGUCUGAAACAAAACUCGAACUCUUACUUGUCCGUGUGGACAUUAAUUAUCAUAUUAUAUACAUUCACUUCCAAUUUAUAUUCUGUCUGAUGUAUAUUAAUGUAAUAUGUUUCCGUUAAGAAACGUGAACAAAAUAUUCAUGUGAAUGAAAUUCCAAGACAAAGAAAAAGGACACGAAAAAGAGAACUUCAAGUUAGAAGCACAUGCCAGCCACGUAGAUAUAUUUACAGUGUAUGCCAUGUGAAGUUUUCCUGCACGUUGAAUUUAUUCAGAGCUUUAAAUACAUAUAUAAGAAAUCGAAUACUCAUGCAUUCACUAUAAUUGUGAAAAAAUAUAAACAUGCCAAAUGAAAUAAUACAUAAAGUUUUGUUGACAGGCAAAAAUAAAUGACCUAAUACGGAUUUUGGGAAUAACCAAAUUUCUGUCCACAAUAUUUAAUUUAUAAACAAAUUAAUAAAUAAAAUACGAGAUAUAUGAUAAAUAUACAAAAUAAAUAAAUUUAAACUUUGAAAAAUUGAUUAGUUAGUAACUUUACUCUAAUUAGUAAUACAUGACACUAAGCAAAUAUAAAGAGUGAAGAUCUGGCGGUAGUGGACGAGCGAUGAUUACAAGAGAAUGAUUUUCCACCUCGAAAUAGACCCAAUUUUAUUUUCCAGCCUUUGCUUUGUUCGUACGUUAUAAUUUUUAUGUCGAUAAAAUUGAUUUUUAAAUUUUAACAUUCUAAAGACACGGGUAAAUUAAUUUGUUGUUAUAUUUCAACGAAGAUGGGUCCCCAAACACCACCAGCGCACGAGACAGCUUUACUCCACUUAUUUUUUUGUAGGAAAGAAAAUCUACUUGAGAAAAUCAUUUACGCAUUAUCUUUUAUUAUUACCAACAUCAUCAUCAAAAAUGUAUUAAAUUUUUAUUUUAUUUAUUAGAUCACAUUCCUUAGGAUUCUGUUCUGUAAAAGUCACAUGAUCCAACUUUCAUUUUGAUCUUUUGCAUCCUCUGUUGGCAAUCAUUAUCAUCGUGAUGACCUGUUUUUUCUUUUUCUGCCUUCAUAUUUAUUUACAGAGCAUGCUCACAAAAUUACAGUGAAGAGGCAGAAAAGAGUGUGUGUAAAUAUUAUUCUUUCCAAAUUUUAUGACACGUUUACAUUCCCGAUACCAUUCUUUAUAUGUUCUGUUAUUUAUUUUUUCUUGAUAAAAUGUUACGUUAUUCCUUUCUAUUUAUUCCAUCUAAACUAUUUUUAUAACGUUGACAAAAAAAUCUAUUCUUAUUAACUUUUUGUGUUAAAACAAAGUUUUGGUAGAUGACGAAAAUAAAAGUAGAGGAAUAGGACCCGUCGACACGAGGUUAGACCAUCAUUAACCCAAAUCUUUUAACUGAAGUUCUUAACUUCGGUUAAAAGAUGGUUUUUAGCUUUUCUUAAAUUUUAAUUAAGAAAAGUUAAGAACCGUUGCUUAAAUAAGAGAUAUAAGAAUCUGUUUCUUAGUCGAAAAAUGUAAAAAAAAACAAAUGUUAAAUUAUAAGUUAAUAAUCCCGAUUAAAAGAUAUGGGUUAAUCAUGCUCUUAUAAACCAAGAGACUUACGUUUAAAGAUAAAUUGUAUCUUCUCUUUACCUAUAAAGACACAUUGUGUUUUUGACACACUUUUUUUGUACUAUUACAUUCUUUUGAGACGAAAAUAACCUUAUUUUGUGCAAAGAGAAAAAUGUUGUUUUUAAGAAAGCAAACUAAAAUUAAUUUAGUUAGUGGACUUUUACAAUAAAUAUAAUAUUCAUUUAAAAUUUUUAAAAGUGUAUGAAUUAAUGUGAAAAAAAUCUGGGUUGUUGGAUCAGUUUACAGAUAAGAAAAUUUAAAAGUUGAAAAUUAAGUUGUUGGUAGAAUUGUGGACAUACUAUAUAAACUAAUUUUUUCACUUCUUGUAUUAUCAAUUUUUGUUUUCACUGCCACUAUAUCCUCCGUCACCUUCUUCUCCUCACGUCUUUCGCCUCUGUAUCCACAUCCACCAACACGACAUCCACCACUAUUUCCUCCUCCUCACGUCUUCCACCUCCGGAUCCACAUCCACCACCACAAUAUCCACCACCACGACAUCCACCACCACUUCCUCCUCCUCACAUCUUCCACCUCCGUGUCCACAUCCACCACCACAACAUCCACAGCCACGGAAUUCACCACCACCUCCUCAUCCUCGCGUCUUCUACCUCGGUAUCCACAUCCACCACCAUAACAUCCACCAUCACGACAUCCACAACCACCUCCUCCUCACAUCUUCUACCUUCGUAUCCACAUGCACCACCACGGUAUCCACCACCACAAUUAGAUAAGAAACUAACUUUUCAUAUGAAACUAGGAAAAGAGAGUCACGAUUGAGAUUGGAUUGGAGUUUCUGGAUUCAUGGUGUGACUCACCAAUGGUUGAGGAUGAAGAGCUGAAGAGGCUAAUCCGGCGGAGCAGUCUCAGAUCGAGCAAAAGCUGGAGGUGGAGACAAAGAGCUUGAACAAAGUGACGGCUCCGAGGCUUCACCAAAGACGCCACGACAGAGAUUCUGUUACAGAGGAGAGAAAUCAGAGAAAGAGAGAUUUGUGUAGUGAUUGUGAUUCUACCUCUUGACCGGGGAGAAGAAAGACAGCGAGAGAUUAGGGUUAGUGAUUGUGGACAAGAAUUGGGAAAAUGGAUUCCAUGUAGAAGAUUGUUUGGGAAACAACGGCGGCGAAAAAGUACAGUUGGCGGUGGAGAGAAUAGAGUUCGAGAACGAAAGGAAUUAGGGGAUUAUGGACGAUUUUGGAUCUAGAUUAAGGUUCAAUUUCUCUAACAUCUGGUGUUGGAAUUCGAUUUCCAGAUCAAGAAGAUCGAGGCAGAAGGGAUAAAGGGGUUAAGGGUUCUCUUUUUGAACUUUUGUCGACUUAGGGAUUUGAAUAGAUAAAGAUUAUUAGAUAAAUUUUUUUUUUUUUUUUACAAAUAAAAAAUAAAAUACCAGAUUUGUUUUGUUUAGUUGGAAAGGCUAACGAAAUCGACAUCCCUAUUAGUUGGAGGUUAUCUUGGUAAAAUUGCAAGAUUAAAGUGUGUCAACUCAGAUUGUGUCUUUUAGAGUAAUUCACAACUCAGAUUGUGUCUCCCAAAGUAAUAUUUUCUUAUAAACCUGAAGUGGUGGAUUUGGGCCAUUCUCUUGUCAUUAUACUUUAUUAGAUAACUAUAUUCUAAAAAGGGCGGGUAUAUUUUCAGUCAUUAAACCUAGGCAAAUUUGUAUCAUCAUACCCAUUACCAAUGCAAGUUGUUAUAUGUAAUCGUGCUCACUCACGUUAAAGUUAAUCUGACAGUUUUUACUUAUAGAGAGAAGUGGAUCCUGCAUAGUUGCAAGUAAAGUGGCAGUUACGAUCGUAUUAUAAACGCGUUUAUAGAUAUAUAUUCAUAUGUUAAAUACUGUUAGUUAAAAUGUGGAUUGUAAAUAAUUAGACCAAACAUUUAUCAAUUGGUCAUAUUUGUGUUUUAAUAGAAUGGAUACUAUUAAGUAUUAGGGUGAUUUUGUGAAAUGUACAAAGUAAAAGAAUAACUAAGAAUAUAGUCACAAAUUGUAUUUGUGAUAAUUUGGUAAAAAUAUAGAUGAGUUUUUUUUUCCGGAUGUGAUUGUUCGUUGCCAGUUAAGUUGCUAUAGUUCAUGAGAAGAAUAAACCACUACAUAAGAUGGAAAAGAAAAAAAAUGGUGGAAAAAGAUCACAAAUGGUGGAGGUGGUUGAAGAGAAUAUGGUGGACACUGUGGCGACAAUGGUGAAAACGAUGAUGGUGGCGAAGAAUAAAACAAUUGACAACAGCGUAGUGGAAAAGAAAACGGUGAAAACGAUGGCGACAAUGGCGGAAACAGCGAUGGUGGCGAAAAAUGAAACAAUCCAGAACGGAGAUGAUGAUGUUAUAAAUAUAAGUGAUUGAGGCAGAAGAAAAUGAAAUGAUCGAAAAAUGGAUCGAAUAUCUACCAAUACUAAAAGGGAGAUAUGCUCAAUAGGGAGAGUGUCCACAUCAGCAUAAAAAAUCAACUAAUAACAAUCAUCCAUUUUGCCACGUCAUCACUAUUUUUACAGAAAAAAAAAGAAACCGUGUUUUGGCUCUAUAUUAAUUUAAAAGGCCCAGACUAUUUUUCUUAUUCUCCAUCUCUGCCCCAGAAACAUAAAAAAACCCAAACACGUGAUGAUUCCACUUCGUCUUCUCCGAUUUCCUCUAUCCAAUCUCAUUUACUAAACUUAUCUGCAUCAAUCAAUUGUGCUCUUCAAUACCUUCUUUAAGAAAUCGUUUCGCAUCCCUUUCUUUCUCCUUCUUUGUAAACCAUAUUCUUCAUAUGUUGUCAUAAGUUGCAUCCAUUCAAGGAAGUCACCGAAAAAAGGAUCGUUGGUUGUACGGCUGUGCCUAGACACAAGGCGUGAUCGACAACAAAAUUCACGAGUUUGAGGUUUCAAAGGCACAAUUCAUCACCAUCCUUAGGAGGAGUCCUUUAUUAUAUCAGGGAAUGCUUAUCGCUUCAGACUGUCUAACUUCUAGGAAAUCAAUUACUCCCUGACAUAUUUUAUUGAUACAUGAGUAUACUGAUAUGCAGGUUCAAUACAUAUUGCACCGUGAGUUUACAAUUUUUUGAAUAUAAGUUCGUGACUAAUUGGAUUAUCAUGAGAGCAUCUAAAUAUCCAAGAUGAGAUUCUUUCUCAUGUUACUUUUUCUUCUUCAAUUUUUCUGGUUCCAUGGACAAUUCUAUAAAAGAUUUUGAAGAUCUUACAAAUUUCAGAAGGGAGGAGGAUCGUAUGUGUGACUUCAGGCGGAACUACGGUUCGGUUGGAGCAACGGCUCGGUUGGAGCAACGAUGGGUAAGGUUCCUCUUUGUUUGCUGUAAACUUCAACAGAUGGACGCCAUUGAUGGUUGCUCGCUCAUGGCACCAGAACUGGCUCGAGGAAAUCUCGAACCCGACCAAGGAUCAGCCACCAAAAAGCCCUUAUCCUUUUCCUCUGCCUUCCUAGUGUGCGGCCGGCGAGAAAAUGAUUGUCUAACUCCAUGUCAUGAAUCUUUCUCUAUCUUUUUGGAAAGAACAUGCACCGUAGCUUCUGGAUGUGAUCAUGAGUUCUGACCUAAGCACCAUAAAUCAUAAACACCACAGGCCACACCAGGGUCAUACACGUGCCCUCUUUCCCUCUCUCUCAACGACAUUGUCUCUUUCACCGAACUUUCCAAUACAACAACAAGAAGACCAGCAACGUCAUCAAAAACAGGUAUGCAGAAUGCAGUGAAGGCUCUAUACCACAAGUUGUUACUGAAAAUAAAUAGAAUAAACAGUCAACUGAAACUCUUUCAGAAGCUUAUGUGUCUUCUACUCUAUAUAAGUUAGAGGAGCAGAGAGUUGGUGUACCUGUUAAGAGUUGGGCUAUAUGAGCAGAGCCGGCCCUGGGCUAAAGCCCAUAAAGCCAGGGCUUUAGGCGCCAAUAUUUGGAUAUAUUUUAGGGGCACCAGAUAUUGAACAAAUAUGUCUCACUAGCCCAGUGGUUAAGUUUUGUUCAUAUUUCCUUCCUGCGUCCGUCAACAGUUAGAGCCUUGAUUCUUCUUUUUUUUUUUUUUUCUUUUUGACAAUAACUUAAAUCUGACAGAUUUAGAUUUCUUUAUUGAUAAUCUUAGUUUCCAUGUUUAUAUAAUUAUAUAAUAAGAUCAUAUAUAGUAGUCAUUAUAAAAUAAAACAAAUCAACUAAAAAAAUCUUAUUUCCUUUUCUAAACUCAUGUUUUUUUCUUCUACUAGUUAUCUUCUUUUUCACUUAAUUAUUUUUUGUAUCUUUAAAAACUAAGAAUAAAGAUGAUAUUUAUUUUUGGAUUCAGAUACUCUCUCAUGGAACUUUGACAGUUUGAAAGAUUCAUUAAGUUUACAAACUAAACCAAUUUCAAGAUGAUGUUCUCUUGUGUUAUAUUUACCAGAAUUAAGUAUUUUUAUUUUAAAUAAUUAUAACAUUAUUUUCAUUUUAAUCAUUUUUAGAGAGUGUUAUUAGAAAGAAAAUAAUAACUCAGCUAAAUUGCUGUAAGAUGAAUUAGUAUAAUCUAAAACCAAUCACAUUCUCAAGUAACAUAAUUUUUUUUAAAGUAACAUUUUUAUACAAAGUAAGUUGUAAAAUUAUUAUUUUUCUUUUAGAUCAAUGUAUAAGUUUUUUUGAAGAAAUUUCUAAAUCAUGAAAAAUUAAUUUUUUUUUUGGUUUAGAAAGCUAAAGUAAAAAAAAAAGUUUUUAAAGGGUAUUAUUUUGUUCGUUCGCUUUAGGCGCCAUAAGACCUCGGACCGACACUGUAUAUGAGAUACCAUCGUUGUUAUCUGCAGUGUUUAGAAUUUCAAAUAAAUUUUAACAUGUUGAACCUUUAGAGUCCUUUUAUCCAAUCGAUGUUUCUGAUCAAGGAACCGGAAUACUGUUGGUGAACUUGGUGAGAAAGCAUUGUUCUCCAUGUACUGGAAUGGAGAUAAUAGGUGUGUUAGAGAUCAGAAACUGUUGCCCUACAGUAGGAGGUUGUAUAUCCUAACAAGGUUAGAUGUCUUUUCCUAGAGUAUGGCGACUUAUGAUCCAUAUUUUACUAGAACUAUAAGAUUUUUUUUUCUACUUGAUGCAUUUGACCAUUUUAAGUUUUUGGUUUUAAGAUAUAUAAGAUAACCUAAGCUA